UGGCUCAGAUUGAACGCUGGCGGCAGGCCUAACACAUGCAAGUCGAGCGGAAACGACUUAACUGAACCUUCGGGGAACGUUAAGGGCGUCGAGCGGCGGACGGGUGAGUAAUGCCUAGGAAAUUGCCCUGAUGUGGGGGAUAACCAUUGGAAACGAUGGCUAAUACCGCAUGAUGCCUACGGGCCAAAGAGGGGGACCUUCGGGCCUCUCGCGUCAGGAUAUGCCUAGGUGGGAUUAGCUAGUUGGUGAGGUAAUGGCUCACCAAGGCGACGAUCCCUAGCUGGUCUGAGAGGAUGAUCAGCCACACUGGAACUGAGACACGGUCCAGACUCCUACGGGAGGCAGCAGUGGGGAAUAUUGCACAAUGGGCGCAAGCCUGAUGCAGCCAUGCCGCGUGUGUGAAGAAGGCCUUCGGGUUGUAAAGCACUUUCAGUCGUGAGGAAGGUGGUAGUGUUAAUAGCACUAUCAUUUGACGUUAGCGACAGAAGAAGCACCGGCUAACUCCGUGCCAGCAGCCGCGGUAAUACGGAGGGUGCGAGCGUUAAUCCGAAUUACUGGGCGUAAAGCGCAUGCAGGUGGUUUGUUAAGUCAGAUGUGAAAGCCCGGGGCUCAACCUCGGAAUAGCAUUUGAAACUGGCAGACUAGAGUACUGUAGAGGGGGGUAGAAUUUCAGGUGUAGCGGUGAAAUGCGUAGAGAUCUGAAGGAAUACCCGGUGGCGAAGGCGGCCCCCUGGACAGAUACUGACACUCAGAUGCGAAAGCGUGGGGAGCAAACAGGAUUAGAUACCCUGGUAGUCCCACGCCGUAAACGAUGUCUACUUGGAGGUUGUGGCCUUGAGCCGUGGCUUUCGGAGCUAACGCGUUAAGUAGACCGCCUGGGGAGUACGGU
rnacentral:rRNA from 1 species